UACGUAGGGUGCAAGCGUUAAUCGGAAUUACUGGGCGUAAAGCGUGCGCAGGCGGUUAUGUAAGACAGUUGUGAAAUCCCCGGGCUCAACCUGGGAAUUGCAUCUGUGACUGCAUAGCUAGAGUACGGUAGAGGGGGAUGGAAUUCCGAGUGUAGCAGUGAAAUGCGUAGAUAUGCGGAGGAACACCGAUGGCGAAGGCAAUCCCCUGGACCUGUACUGACGCUCAUGCACGAAAGCGUGGGGAGCAAACAGG
rnacentral:rRNA from 1 species